CCUACGGGGGGCAGCAGUGAGGAAUAUUGGUCAAUGGGCGAGAGCCUGAACCAGCCAAGUCGCGUGAGGGAGUACUGCCCUAUGGGUUGUAAACCUCUUUUGUCGGGGAGCAAAAGCCGGACGUGUCCGGCUGUGAGAGUACCCGAAGAAAAAGCAUCGGCUAACUCCGUGCCAGCAGCCGCGGUAAUACGGAGGAUGCGAGCGUUAUCCGGAUUUAUUGGGUUUAAAGGUAGCGCAGGCGGAUUUUUAAGUCAGCGGUAAAAUCGUGGGGCUCAACCCCAUCCAGCCGUUGAAACUGGGGAUCUAGAGUGUGCGAGAGGUAUGCAGAAUGCGUGGUGUAGCGGUGAAAUGCAUAGAUAUCACGCAGAACCCCGAUUGCGAAGGCAGCAUACCGGUGCACAACUGACGCUCAGGCACGAAAGCGUGGGUAUCGAACAGGAUUAGAUACCCGAGUAGUC
rnacentral:rRNA from 1 species